UAUUUGUAGUUAUUUAUAUUUUACUACAUUCUCAAUUUAAUAACGUGAAAAUUUUCCUAAUGGGAGAAUAUAUAUAUCCAAAUUCAAGUGCAACAAGCAAUAAGAAUCUCAACGCAUUGUGGCUUUUUAUCCAUUCUCUUUAUCUUGUUUUAUGUGUAAAUUCUUUCUACUUGAUUUUUUUUAUUAAUAUGUAAGCUAUUGGAUCUUGUUCAUUGAUUCUUUGUUUUUAUCUUCCUGUCUCUGCUGCCAAUUUUUAUUGUCAAUAAUUGGCUCCCAAGGCCCACCUUCUAUAGUUCGAGCAUUUAAUUUGCCAUGAAUUUCUUCGUCACUUCAUAUUCAAUGUCCUCUUGUUCCUUUUUAUCUUCAUCAAUUUCCUGAUGUCUUUUUUUAUGCGCGCAUCGUUGAUUUUGGUUACAUAACUUUAAUCAUCGCUCAUCAGCAGGAGCUUUUGCUUUAUCCUGCAAAGCGAGAACCCGCUAAAAAUGGUUGGUUCCCAAGACUCAAGCAGUGUUUAUCAUAACAAUAGACAGUUGGUCCAAUAGAAGAAACAUUAUACUUACGAUGUUGAGUGCAAAUGUUCGAUUUUUCAUAAGAGCAUUAUGAAGGUUAAUUUCAGUUCUUCCUUAAUUAUUAAUUAAUUGAGUGGAGACAGUCUCUCCCUUACAAAAUGUGAGUGGAGUAUGCACCCCCCCUUACAAUGUUGACUGCAAAGGUUCGAUUUUUCAUAAGAGCAUUAUAGAAUUUAACUUCAGUUCUUCCUCAAUUAUCAAUUAAUUGAGUGAAGACAGUCUCUCUCUUACGAAAUGUGAGUGGAGUAGACACCCCUCGAAUAUGAGAGAGGAUUUAAAAUAUUUUGACAAGUGCUUCAGUGGGUUAACGUAUGGCGGUGGUCUCAGUUGUUUAGCACGAUUGUAAAUAUUAUAAUUGUAAUGUCUGAUGUAAUAUCAGUAACAAUAUAUGUAUAAUAGAAUUAAAAAAAAAAAAAGCAGUGUUUAUCAUUCUCAUUACAUGUAUAUUACACAUGAAUCUAAACAGGGCAAACGUAUCGUUACAUUGAUCUAUAUAAAAAUAUCUUGAAGCUUAAAAUUCGCAUAUGUAUGAUACGUAGAUUAAAGGAGUAAAUAUACACGUUAGUGGCAAAUAAUUAGCUUUCAAGAAAUUCACGGGUGCCUGAUACGGAGGGAUUGUGUAAGCACACUAAAAUAGCAAAAGCAGAAGCGAGGGAAGCUUUCAAAUCCAAAACUCCAAAACCAACAAAUAAAACUAAAACCAUCAUUCUUUUUAACGUGGAGAGAUGUGUACAAACACAUAUAGACUAAGCAGAAGCAAAGAUAAUAAGUGAUAAAAAAAAAAAUGAAAAUAUAAAAAAAAAUAAAAUAAAAUAAAGAGGGAGAUGGUCACACAAAACAAAGCCAUAUAGCAUGAUAAUGUUUAUCCUCCAAAUCUUUGUUGGAGUGCGGUUAUUCUUAGGUCUCGCAGCCCAUGCGGUGGGUGGAAUUGAUUCUUGCACGUUGGCUUUUUGGUGGGUUUUUUUAUUUUUUUAUUUUUUAUUUUUUUAUUUGGCUUCUCUCUCAUUUCAGUGCUUAAAGGGGGAAAAGCAAAAGCUAACAGAAAGUGCUUCUAAUGGGUUUAAAAAGCAAAAGUUGACGCCCGUGCCUUGCCCCCAUCGGCCCACCGCACACCUCACCUUUUGAAGCCCUCCACUACGUCCUGCUCUAUUGCCGCUUUGGUUAUGAAACAUUAUCGCAUGUUUUCUACAAAAAUGAUUCUUCGCCAUCUAAAUUAGUGCUCAAUGGUGCCACGCUCACAAAAACAUGUACGGCAAAGUAAGUAUUAUUAACAAUGCCGCCGGUAGUGAACUUGCAAUAGCAUAAAGUUACGCUUAAUUAAGCUCCCCAACAAAUGAUAAAUCAUAUCUUAUGCCUUUUUCUUUUCUUUUUUCACUGUAUGUGUAAUCCACUUUAUGACCAAUUUCCAUUAUUCAAGAUUCCAAGUCGCCGGUCGGUUACGUCAUUUGUUCAAGAAAAUUUGCAUAGUUCACGUUGAAUAUGAUCCACACACGAAGGGCAUGCAUGUAGUAGUUGGAUCACUAUUUCUCAAUGCACAAAUACUGUGCAGCCCAUGAAUUUGAAAAACAGUAGCAUGUUUUACUAGGGGCAAAUUGCUCAAUCCAUCAACUACAGCCCAAGAAGAAGCCCACAAAAAUGUAAUUAAUAUAGGAAUUUUUUAAUAAAUUUGAAAA
rnacentral:lncRNA from 1 species